UACGUAGGUGACAAGCGUUGUCCGGAUUUACUGGGCGUAAAGAGCGCGCAGGCGGUCGUUCAAGUCGAGUGUGAAAGCCCCCGGCUCAACUGGGGAGGGUCACUCGAUACUGAUCGACUCGAAGGCAGGAGAGGGUAGUGGAAUUCCCGGUGUAGUGGUGAAAUGCGUAGAUAUCGGGAGGAACACCAGUGGCGAAGGCGACUGCCUGGACCAGCACUGACACUGAGGCACGAAAGCGUGGGGAGCAAACAGGG
rnacentral:rRNA from 1 species